CCUGGGGUGGCCGAACGGUAAGGCGCACGUCUGUCACACGUUGAGAUUGCAGGUUCGAGUCCUGCCCCCGGGGCCA
rnacentral:tRNA from 1 species